rnacentral:rRNA from 1 species
AGAGUUUGAUCCUGGCUCAGGACGAACGCUGGCGGCACGCUUAACACAUGCAAGUCGAACGAGAGAAGAGGAGCUUGCUUUUCUGAUCUAGUGGCGGACGGGUGAGUAACACGUGAGCAAUCUGCCUUUCAGAGGGGGAUACCGAUUGGAAACGAUCGUUAAUACCGCAUAACAUAAUUGAACCGCAUGAUUUGAUUAUCAAAGAUUUAUCGCUGAAAGAUGAGCUCGCGUCUGAUUAGCUAGUUGGUAAGGUAACGGCUUACCAAGGCGACGAUCAGUAGCCGGACUGAGAGGUUGAUCGGCCACAUUGGGACUGAGACACGGCCCAGACUCCUACGGGAGGCAGCAGUGGGGAAUAUUGCACAAUGGGGGAAACUCUGAUGCAGCGAUGCCGCGUGAGGGAAGAAGGUUUUAGGAUUGUAAACCUCUGUCUUCAGGGACGAAAAAAGACGGUACCUGAGGAGGAAGCUCCGGCUAACUACGUGCCAGCAGCCGCGGUAAUACGUAGGGAGCGAGCGUUGUCCGGAAUUACUGGGUGUAAAGGGAGCGUAGGCGGGAUCGCAAGUCAGAUGUGAAAACUAUGGGCUUAACCCAUAAACUGCAUUUGAAACUGUGGUUCUUGAGUGAAGUAGAGGUAAGCGGAAUUCCUAGUGUAGCGGUGAAAUGCGUAGAUAUUAGGAGGAACAUCAGUGGCGAAGGCGGCUUACUGGGCUUUAACUGACGCUGAGGCUCGAAAGCGUGGGGAGCAAACAGGAUUAGAUACCCUGGUAGUCCACGCCGUAAACGAUGAUUACUAGGUGUGGGGGGACUGACCCCUUCCGUGCCGCAGCAAACGCAAUAAGUAAUCCACCUGGGGAGUACGACCGCAAGGUUGAAACUCAAAGGAAUUGACGGGGGCCCGCACAAGCAGUGGAGUAUGUGGAUUAAUUCGAAGCAACGCGAAGAACCUUACCAGGUCUUGACAUCGUAUGCAUAGCUCAGAGAUGAGUGAAAUCUCUUCGGAGACAUAUAGACAGGUGGUGCAUGGUUGUCGUCAGCUCGUGUCGUGAGAUGUUGGGUUAAGUCCCGCAACGAGCGCAACCCUUACUGUUAGUUGCUACGCAAGAGCACUCUAGCAGGACUGCCGUUGACAAAACGGAGGAAGGUGGGGAUGACGUCAAAUCAUCAUGCCCCUUAUGACCUGGGCCUCACACGUACUACAAUGGCUGUCAACAGAGGGAAGCAAAGCCGCGAGGUGGGGCGAACCCCUAAAAGCAGCCUUAGUUCGGAUUGUAGGCUGCAACCCGCCUACAUGAAGUCGGAAUUGCUAGUAAUCGCAGAUCAGCAUGCUGCGGUGAAUACGUUCCCGGGCCUUGUACACACCGCCCGUCACGCCAUGGGAGUCGGUAACACCCGAAGCCUGUAGUCUAACCGCAAGGAGGACGCAGUCGAAGGUGGGAUUGAUGACUGGGGUGAAGUCGUAACAAGGUA